rnacentral:rRNA from 1 species
UAGGGAAUAUUGCACAAUGGGCGCAAGCCUGAUGCAGCAACGCCGCGUGGAUGAUGAAGGCCUUCGGGUUGUAAAAUCCUUUUCUGGGGAAAGAUAAUGACGGUACCCCAGGAAUAAGUUCCGGCUAACUACGUGCCAGCAGCCGCGGUAAAACGUAGGGGACGAGCGUUAUCCGGAUUUACUGGGCGUAAAGCGCAUGUAGGUGGCUUGAAAAGUUGGACGUGAAAGCUCCUGGCUUAACUGGGAGAGGUCGUACAAAACUAGCAAGCUUGAGGUUGGAAGAGGAGAGCAGAAUUCCCGGUGUAGUGGUGGAAUGCGUAGAUAUCGGGAGGAAUACCAGUGGCGAAAGCGGCUCUCUGGUUCAAUACUGACACUGAGAUGCGAAAGCGUGGGGAGCGAACGGGAUUAGAUACCCAAGUAGUCCCUGAGCGGGCUGGCAAGGCGCAU